CGACAAGGGGAGCUCGGAAGGGCUGAGAGGAAGCAUGGCUUCGACCUUUACCUGAUCUGGAUAAUGCCAGCGUAGGAAAGAAGCGUU
rnacentral:ncRNA from 1 species